AGUGAACGCUGGCGGUAGGCCUAACACAUGCAAGUCGAACGGCAGCACAGUAAGAGCUUGCUCUUACGGGUGGCGAGUGGCGGACGGGUGAGGAAUACAUCGGAAUCUACUUUUUCGUGGGGGAUAACGUAGGGAAACUUACGCUAAUACAGCAUACGACCUACGGGUGAAAGCAGGGGAUCUUCGGACCUUGCGCGAUUGAAUGAGCCGAUGUCGGAUUAGCUAGUUGGCGGGGUGAAGGCCCACGAAGGCGGGGAUCCGUAGCUGGUCUGGGAGGAUGGUCGGCCGCACGGGAACUGGACCACGGACCUGACUCCUGCGGGACGCACCAGUGGGCAAUGGGAGGCAGUAGUGGCAAGCCUGGUCCAACCGUCCCGCGCGGGAGAAGGAGGCCUUGGGGUUGUAAAGCCCUUUUGUUGGUAGAGAACAGCUUCAGGUUAAGACCCCGCUGUUCUGACGGUACCCGAUGAAGAAGCACCGGCUAACUACGUG
rnacentral:rRNA from 1 species